GCUGAAGUGGUGGAACUGGUAGACACGCAGGACUUAAAAUCCUGUGCCCUCAACAGGCGUGCGGGUUCGAUUCCCGCCUUCAGUA
rnacentral:tRNA from 4 species